ACAAAAAAUCAAUUUGCAAAAUCUUGAUUAAUAAAAUCAGGAUUGAAUUUUUUUAACUCAUUUUUUUAUUGUUUUUUCCCACUUCCUUGAUGUCUAUCAACAGCAAAGGCACUCAGCAGAUUGACAACACAAAAAAUAAAAAGUACUUUAUAUUUCACUUCUAAAAUAAAAGUUGAAGUAUGAGGUCCUGAACUGUUUGGAAUUCUCAUGUCAGUUUCUGAUACCAGGAGCAGUUUUUGUGCAUUGUUUCAGACUUUAAAUAAAUAGACAUGCAAAUUUGGCGGUCUGAGAUCCAGAAAUGGAAAGAUGUUAGGAGAAUAAGAAAUGCUACACCCUUUUGUAGAACAAGUGUUUAUUGAGAAAAGAAAGAGAAAAAAUACAGUAAAAGAAAUGAGACCCUCAAAUUUAAACAUAUAUUAAACAAAAAAGAGUGAAGGGCUGAUGCCAAAAUGUCAUGGCAUAGCACAGCAUGAGGAAAACUUGCCUAGAGAGACUUCUUUUGUCAAGUUGACUAUGGUCAACUUCUGUCCAUGCUCCCUUGCUGGUGGCUAUUUUCUUCCUGAAUCUGAGAGCUUUUCUUUCCUUGAGUGGACUCCUGCUGUGUCUGUUUUACUCUCUUCUCUGUCCAUUUUUCUUCCCGCUCCUGUCAGUCAUUGUUGUAUUUAUAUGCAACAAUGGAAUUUUUAUGGGAUUACAGGUGUUUACCAGCUGGUCUCAGAUUGGGGAUAGUCAUUCUUUUAUUUUUUUUACAGCAAGUAGUAACUUAAGAGCAUUGACAAAAGAAGUUCUCUCCAUGAGUAAUGCAUAGAUGUGUUGAUUUGGGUGGGAGUAUUGUCAAUUACAUCUUCUGACAAGAAGGAUUUGACAGUCCAAUUUGCACUUUUAAAUUUUUACAAUACACUUAGUAUAAAUGUAUUUUAGCAUCUAUUUAACAUAUGAUGCUUUAAAACAAUACAAAGAAACUUUUUUUUUUGUGAAAGAAAAAUACAGUAAAAUGUAAUUGAAAAUACAAAGAAAACUUGGUAUGUAUCAUAUUUUUAUAUAUGUAUUAAUAUCUAUUGAGUGAU
rnacentral:lncRNA from 1 species